rnacentral:rRNA from 1 species
GUUUGAUCAUGGCUCAGGACGAACGCUGGCGGCGUGCUUAACACAUGCAAGUCGAACGAGAAGAGAUGAGAAGCUUGCUUCUUAUCUCUUCGAGUGGCAAACGGGUGAGUAACGCGUAAGCAACCUGCCCUUCAGAUGGGGACAACAGCUGGAAACGGCUGCUAAUACCGAAUACGUUCUUUUUGUCGCAUGGCAGAGGGAAGAAAGGGAGGCUCUUCGGAGCUUUCGCUGAAGGAGGGGCUUGCGUCUGAUUAGCUAGUUGGUGGGGUAACGGCUCACCAAGGCGACGAUCAGUAGCCGGUCUGAGAGGAUGAACGGCCACAUUGGGACUGAGACACGGCCCAAACUCCUACGGGAGGCAGCAGUGGGGAAUCUUCCGCAAUGGGCGCAAGCCUGACGGAGCAACGCCGCGUGAGUGAAGAAGGUUUUCGGAUCGUAAAGCUCUGUUGAGAGGGACGAGAGAUAUAAUCAGGAAAUGGGUUAUAGAGGACGGUACCUUUCGAGGAAGCCACGGCUAACUACGUGCCAGCAGCCGCGGUAAUACGUAGGUGGCGAGCGUUGUCCGGAAUUAUUGGGCGUAAAGGGAGCGCAGGUGGGAAAGUAAGUCAGUCUUAAAAGUUCGGGGCUCAACCCCGUGAUGGGAUUGAAACUACUUUUCUUGAGUGCAGGAGAGGAAAGCGGAAUUCCUAGUGUAGCGGUGAAAUGCGUAGAUAUUAGGAGGAAUACCGGUGGCGAAGGCGGCCCCCUGGACGAAGACUGACGCUCAGGUGCGAAAGCGUGGGGAGCAAACAGGAUUAGAUACCCUGGUAGUCCACGCCGUAAACGAUGUCGACUUGGAGGUUGUGCCCUUGAGGCGUGGCUUCCGGAGCUAACGCGUUAAGUCGACCGCCUGGGGAGUACGGCCGCAAGGUUAAAACUCAAAUGAAUUGACGGGGGCCCGCACAAGCAGUGGAGUAUGUGGUUUAAUUCGACGCAACGCGAAGAACCUUACCAAGUCUUGACAUCCUGCGACGUGCAUAGAAAUAUGUGUUUCCUUCGGGACGCAGAGACAGGUGGUGCAUGGUUGUCGUCAGCUUGUGUCGUGAGAUGUUGGGUUAAGUCCCGCAACGAGCGCAACCCUUACUGUCAGUUACUACGCAAGAGGACUCUGGCAGGACUGCCGUUGACAAAACGGAGGAAGGUGGGGAUGACGUCAAAUCAUCAUGCCCUUUAUGACUUGGGCUACACACGUACUACAAUGGCGUUAAACAAAGAGAAGCAAGACCGCGAGGUGGAGCAAAACUCAGAAACAACGUCCCAGUUCGGACUGCAGGCUGCAACUCGCCUGCACGAAGUCGGAAUUGCUAGUAAUCGUGGAUCAGCAUGCCACGGUGAAUACGUUCCCGGGCCUUGUACUCACCGCCGU